rnacentral:rRNA from 1 species
UACGUAGGGGGCUAGCGUUGUCCGGAUUUAUUGGGCGUAAAGGGCGCGUAGGCGGCCACCGCAAGUCGACUGUGAAAUCUCCGGGCUUAACCCGGAAAGGUCAGCCGAUACUGCGGGGCUAGAGUGCAGAAGGGGCAACUGGAAUUCUCGGUGUAGCGGUGAAAUGCGUAGAUAUCGAGAGGAACACCUGCGGCGAAGGCGGGUUGCUGGGCUGACACUGACGCUGAGGCGCGAAAGCUAGGGGAGCGAACGGG